UCCUCCUUCGUGUGGGAUGCAAACAGAUUUGCUAUUAGAUAGCUUCCUUUCCCCUUUAUAUGGCAUAGCUCAGAGAAAUUGUAUUCAUUAUACCACUUCUAAAUUUCACAAUAGUAUCAUUCUAGUACAGCAGAAUUUAUUCAAAAUGGGCGACGUAAAUUCAGCAAGAAGGUUUUUAAGGUUGUUCCUAUGGAUAUGUAUUGUAAUCUCAUUUCUUCAAACGGUCACCAUGGCAGAGACAAUGUGCGUCCAGACACCGUGCGAAUUGGGAUACUGUUGCGACCAAAGUGGGAACACAACAGCUUUAGUACUGCCCUGUUGUUGUAAAUCACUAUCCGGAGGGCUUUCACAGCAAUGCAUUAGCCAUUCAUCGAGCAGAAUGUUGGGGAUUGGGUGGUUCUCAUUGCCGAUCUGGUUGUCGUCGAUUGUGAUGCUAACAUCAGCCUAGGCAAGUGAGGCUUCGACGGUGCAAUGAUGUUAAGGUUUAGGACAGAGCCUAGACAUAGAAUGACUUACGUUUCCAACUGUGCGUGAACUUGUAUUUAUGGAAUUGAAGAACUGUUUUAACUUAGAAAAUAUAUACUUUGAAUAUUUUUUGGAGGACUACAUUUGCAAAAUCUCUAAACAUGUAUAUGUCUAACCAAAUGAAAGAAAAUGAUUACUCGAUUCAUAAUUCUGACCAUGAUAUAAGAAAUUUUGAAUAUGCAGUGUAUUAUUAGAAAUUGUAGCAUUGUCAUUUAAAAUAAAUAUUGAAGC